CGCGUAGGCGGUCAUGUAAGUCUUGUGUGAAAUCCCUCGGCUCAACUGGGGAACUGCACAGGAUACUGCUUGGCUUGAGUUCGGGAGAGGGAAGCGGAAUUCCGGGUGUAGCGGUGAAAUGCGCAGAUAUCCGGAGGAACACCGGUGGCGAAGGCGGCUUCCUGGACCGAAACUGACGCUGAGGCGCGAAAGCUAGGGGAGCAAACG
rnacentral:rRNA from 1 species